AUAAAGAUUAAUUUAUUUAGCACAUUUUCAUUUUCCUUCUAUUGAAAGACUUCAUAGUCCAUUACAUUGCACAGUUUAAAUGAAAUUCUUUAAUCAACUCGAAGCGUAAAGCAAACAAGUUAAAUUCCUCAAUUAUUGGCUGAACUAUUUUUAAGCUCCGAUGUCCUCGACACAGUUUUCGGCUAAAAUCCGAGAGCCAAAAUCUGAGAGAGAAAUUCCGCCAUGGCGACAAUUCAUUUGACAGUCACGAAAUCAAUUGGAAAAGUGAAUAAACAGAAAGUGGGAAACGAAAUCAAGCUGCAUAAAUUAUCGAAAAAUCAGAUCAGCAAAUUGGAACAAUUGAGUGUCACGGCAAAUUCCCUGGAACUGUCAAUUUGGCCGAGCCUCAAAUGGAGUUCCUGUGUGGCCUUGUUUGGCUGCUUUCAACGGCUGCAUUCGGUGCGAAAUGGUGUCUUGCAAAUGGCUCGUGAAAUCAGACAGAUGCCAGAUGCCUUACUUUUUAAAUAAAAGCCUUGCCAGCUUUUCUCAUGGUGAGCAUUUUGUGGACUCCGCUCUAAAUUACAGUUUUUUGCGGUUUGUUGAUUUUAUUGCACAACUUUGUUUACAAUUCUGCUUAAAUUUCAUUACACGAUCCCUGCCGAAAGGAACUGAGCCAAGGGAAAAGAGAUUUGCGGGUUGGAUUGAAAAUGAAUGCCAAAACCUUGAUAUGAAUUAAUAUUUGAGCAGAGCUACCAAGUGGAGCAGACAUGUAAAGGGAUUGGGUGUGCGGUGUUGUGGGGGGGUGGUAAAGUUUGACCGAGGCAAAUGGACAUUGGUUUGCAUGCAUCGGACAUUGGUUAAGUGGGUCAACUCGGGCGGUUAAUUGGCGAGUUUGGCUCUCGAGGUAACUAUUCAAUUACGGUUUGGGAUAUCUUAUCAAUUUCUUGGAAAUCACAUGCAAACAUUCAGACAAUUAUUCAGCCAAGGCAAAGGUUAAGAAACCCGAAAGGCAGCAGCCCACAAAGGCAGCAAACAAUAAACUGAGGGAAAACCCAAAACGCCAGCGAAAACACGAAGCAUGAAAAAUCAAAACAAAUAAGCCAACAGGCAGGCAAACAAAGUGCCAAGCAAAUUAAAUAAAAUCCGCACAAACAAAGCAAUGUGGACCGGGCCAAAAAGGAGGAGCAAGAGCAGGAGCCACCAGGAUGGGAGCACAAGGAUACACAUGCACAGAGACACUGUACACCGGAUACUGGAUACUGGAGCAGGCCACUUAGAUGCCGGUUGACACAGCCACAAGAAGCGAGUGAGUGUAUGUUUUUGUUUGUGAUAAAAAUGAAGCAAUUGAGCGCCAGGACCAGCCCGUGCCCGCGACAAAUGCCAACAACAAUGGGCGAAAGCUACUGACUGAGAACUGAGCCGGAAUGAGAUGCUAGUAGAGUGGGCAAAUUAAUUAGCCUUCCGCUUAGUCUCAACUCUAGUUAGCAUUUUUCAUUCGAUUAAAGUGUGGAAACUAAUCGGAAAUAUUCAGGUUCAAUUAGAUCUUGGUACUUUUCUUUAUG